GGAACUUAGGAUAAACACAAACCGAAGGCCUUCAAAGCCUUAAAUAAGAGUUAGACCCUCUUAGUUUCUGC
rnacentral:tRNA from 3 species